rnacentral:rRNA from 1 species
UACAGAGGCCUCGAGCGUUAGGCGGAAUCACUGGGCUUAAAGCGUGUGUAGGUGGAUGCCUAAGUACUUUGUGAAAUCCCAUGGCUUAACCAUGGAAUUGCUUGGUAUACUGGGUGUCUUGAGCCACUCAGGGGCUACUGGAACAAACGGUGGAGCGGUGAAAUGCGUAGAUAUCGUUUGGAACGCCAAUGGUGAAAACAAGUAGCUGGGGGUGUGCUGACACUGAGACACGAAAGCCAGGGGAGCAAACGGG